AUGUUACAUCCUUUCUGUCUGAGCUUCAGCUUUCCAAUGGGAACUAAACUUGGCUGCUUCUUUUUUCACCUUCUUCCAGGCGUUAUUCCAUUAGUGCCUGUUUUUCCUGGGUGGUCUCUGCCUUCCUCUCUCCUGUGGAAGGAAAAAGUUAAGGAAGAGAGGAGCAAGGAAAAGAAUGAAUGGAAAGCAAGUUCCUCUCAGGAGCAAAGUUGGCUGCUUCCAUAUCACUGUAAGGCAAACAUCAUGUACUUACCCCACAGCAAGCCGCAAGUCAGCAACACAAGCUCCUUCCUGGGCAGGAAGCAACAGGCCCAGCUGUAAAAUCACACAGAUUUUGCUUUAAUCAUCAGCUGAGCACACUGCACUCUCUGCUGCUGUCUUGAGGAGGACACUGUAAUGCCUGCCUGGCUCAUUAAACGUGCUGUGGGCUGAAAGAUGGAGACUGUGUAAAUCCAACACCCUAGCAAGGGGUGUUGACACUGUCAAACUGUGGGCUGUUCGGGAGCAGCCUUGCUCAGGAGCAACCCCGCUCAUAUCAACAUGGCCUGCUAUGUCCUGCCGCUCCUGCCCUGGGAUGGAGGAUGGGAUCCAGGGCAGGGCUCACCCAUCUUCCUCUGCCCGUAAGCCUUCCUCCUGAGCCGUGUGAGCUGUCUUAAGAAGAGUUGGGACAUCUAUCUUUUCCUGAGCCUGAAGAUAUGAAGUUAUCUUGCAACAUGUGCGAUCACAGGCUGUUGUAUGUGAUCUGGAUAAAAGGGAAAGCUCCUGAAAAGCUGGGAAGCUUUUCUGCAGGGGCAGAAAAGUUGUAAUAAUAAUACAGAGGAGGAUCUCUAGAAGAAGGCAUUCUGGCUCCUUUUAUUGCGUUCUCUGUGUACAGAGGGACAUGGCUCACUUGAUCACAGGUCAGAUAGAUAAUCUUUGUAGGCUGAAAUAUCUGGGGCACCGUUAGACCUACAGCACGAAAAAAGGGUGAACUCUUGACACAGAGUGGAAGAAUUGUAUAAAUCUAGAGAAGAUGCAGCUGCUGAAUCAAGAGAUGUGCAAUGGCACCAGGAAAGCAGCAGAGUCACAACUAACAAGGUAGUGAUGCUGCAGUAGAGCAAGUUCCCAUUAUCUUUAAAGAACAAAGCAAGUGAGCUUUUUGCUGCUAUGGUCAAGUGUUUAAAAGUGCAUUUCAUAUACAUAGAAUUUUUAAUACAAGCUACCCCACCACUAAUAGCAGUCUACAUAGCAUUAAAAAUUGUACCUCAGUUGCAUGAUUUUGCCAGUUUUGAAGCAUCAGCAAGUUUAAUUUUAAUCUGCUGUAGAGCUAGAAAUAGUCACUGUAAGGAUGAUACUGUUUUGCAUUCAGUACAUUUAUUGAUAUGAGAAAACUAGCAAGCAUUAAUUUAAAGUGAUUAAUUCAGGAACAUGCAAAUGUGAAGGUUGUAUGGAAACACAUAAACCAUGUGUUGCAGACCUGGAGUUCGGUUCCUUGGUUUCCCUGGGUUCACUACCUCACAGCAAGCCUUCUGGGCCCAGGUAGAGAGAACAGAGUCUGAAGCAAAAGUGCUGAUACCGAUGAAGGAUCCAGGAUGGCUUUUGGGUUGGUGCUCAGCAACCUGGGUGACAGAAACCCAGCAAGGAGGGGGACCUACAGGUGGUGGUGGGCAGUGAGUUGGACAUGAGAGCCUGGCCAGGUAGGUCCAUGUGGUCUGGAGACUUCACAUGCAAGACACCUGAAACAAAUCAUACCCAAAGAGUGUGCUGGGGAGCUCCUUGGAUGAGGAAGGCAGCAUGAUCUAUCCCUGCUUUAUACGUUGCAUAUGGAAUAAGAUUUUCAGCUAUCCAUGACAUUUUUCACAGCACUGUGAAAGUGCUUUUGAAAGAGAGGAAACAGCAGAGGGAGCGUAGCCCUUCGGCAGCAAUCCUCGUUUGCUGGAGAAUGGUCAAGGUGCCUACACCAUCUCUGCCCUAGUGAAUGGGGCAGAAGCAGAUUCAAACCCAGCACAAAUUGCUCCCAACCAGUGCCUGUCCCUAGGCUCAGAUAACUUCUGGGAAGACGACAGCUGUAAGGCUCCUCUGUCUCACUGGGGAGCCCCACAACACUGCAAUAAGGAAGCCACCGUAGUGAUUUGCCCUCCUCUUUUGAGAACCAAACAUUGGCUUGGUCUGUAACACACACAUCCCAGCUGGCAAAACCGAACUAGAUCAUUAAGGCAAUAGAAACAGUCAGUGUACAGAGGGACAUGAAAAAAUGACUCUGAGAUGCAUUAACAUUUUAUGCAUUUACUGGGAUAAAACCUCAUGUCUAUAAUAUUAAAGCAGAAUGUCAAAGAGAUAGCUUAUGCUAAUUUAAUUAAAGGUAGCAUGCUGGUGCACGUGGGUGAGGAGCUGAGUUAAUACUGAGUACCACCCACAGAUUUUGCCUGCCAUGGAUGUGUUUAGUCUGGGUCAUCCUGAUGUGCUCACGGCUCUAUUUGUUUUUCUGGACAGGAUGAGUAUCCCCUCAUCACUCU
ensembl:lncRNA